GACGAACGCUGGCGGCGCGCCUAACACAUGCAAGUCGAACGGGAUCCUUUAGGAAGCUUGCUUCUUGGCUGAUCUAGUGGCGGACGGGUGAGUAACACGUGAGCAACCUGCCGCGGAGUGGGGGACAACGUCUGGAAACGGACGCUAAUACCGCAUAACAUACCUGGGAGACAUCUCUCGGGUAUCAAAGGAGAAAUCCGCUUUGCGAUGGGCUCGCGCCCGAUUAGAUAGUUGGUGGGGUAACGGCCCACCAAGUCGACGAUCGGUAGCCGGACUGAGAGGUUGAACGGCCACAUUGGGACUGAGACACGGCCCAGACUCCUACGGGAGGCAGCAGUGGGGAAUAUUGGACAAUGGGCGAAAGCCUGAUCCAGCCAUGCCGCAUGAGUGAAGAAGGCCUUUGGGUUGUAAAGUUCUUUUAGUGAGGAAGAUAAUGACGGUACUCACAGAAGAAGUCCUGGCUAACUCCGUGCCAGCAGCCG
rnacentral:rRNA from 1 species